rnacentral:rRNA from 1 species
UUUGACCGGCUCAGGACGAACGCCGGCGGCGUGCCUAAUACAUGCAAGUCGAGCGGACAGAUGGGAGCUUGCUCCCUGAUGUUAGCGGCGGACGGGUGAGUAACACGUGGGUAACCUGCCUGUAAGACUGGGAUAACUCCGGGAAACCGGGGCUAAUACCGGAUGCUUGAUUGAACCGCAUGGUUCAAUUAUAAAAGGUGGCUUUUAGCUACCACUUACAGAUGGACCCGCGGCGCAUUAGCUAGUUGGUGAGGUAACGGCUCACCAAGGCAACGAUGCGUAGCCGACCUGAGAGGGUGAUCGGCCACACUGGGACUGAGACACGGCCCAGACUCCUACGGGAGGCAGCAGUAGGGAAUCUUCCGCAAUGGACGAAAGUCUGACGGAGCAACGCCGCGUGAGUGAUGAAGGUUUUCGGAUCGUAAAACUCUGUUGUUAGGGAAGAACAAGUACCGUUCGAAUAGGGCGGUACCUUGACGGUACCUAACCAAAAAGCCACGGCUAAC